UGCUAAAAGUGUUGAUUACAUGGAAAGUCGAGUGAAACACAACCUCACAGUGAUCUGGCUGCACUCAUCUGGCUGGAAACAUGGCCGCCGUUUAAAAUACCCGGAUUGUAGAACUCAAAACAGGGGACACGAACAUCAAAGGUUCCGACCUCGAGUGGCGCUUGUGUACAUUCCUUAAUCUGUGACGGUCUGAGACAAUAAGAAUCCCUUGCCUCUGUGUUAGUGGUCCUCUUCGGUACGUUCGCACGUUGUGUGACGUCACCUUGCAGUGUCCCGUCUUUGCUAACGCAGGAAGUACAACAGCUUCUCCCAACCAACCAAUCAAAAUCUCGAGGAAUUAUCAAACCAAGAAAAAUCCUAAAAAGGAGUCGAACGGAUUUCAUCAAACUUUUAUUAACAUCUUGACUUUGGUGAAGAUAACUCACAAAGGAGGCUCAAAUGUACGAAACAAAAUACAUAUACAAUAUGAUACGAUACAUCAUUGUUUCAUAAAACUAGCCAUAUUUUCCUUUAUGUUAUUGUUUUCUCCAUUCGUAAUGUCGACAUAAUCAUAAAGUUUUUGUCGUUUUGUGAGCUUUUGUACUUUUUAAUACAGUUGACGUCAUGAUACA